AAAUGGACAAAAAUACACAGAUUUGUACACAGAUUUGAGACGAAAUCCGUCAAGAUUUGGUUGUUGAAAAUUGUGAUACAUUUCCAGAAGUGAAAAUAUAUUAAAAUUGACGGGGUACAACAAUCAUUAACUAGAAACAUUUUUUUUUGUUAUACACAUUAAGGUUGUUUUGUUGCUCAUGCUAAAGCCAAUAUAAUUGAUAGGG
rnacentral:lncRNA from 1 species